rnacentral:misc_RNA from 1 species
GUGAAUCAUCAAAUUUUUGAACGCAAAUUGCACUCCCUUCGGAGAGUAUGCCUGUUUGAGGGUCAGCCUAAAAAAAAUCGACAUAGUUGCUGUUAUUUAAUGGUGACUUUCGUCGGAGAUUGGGUUAUCUUAAACCUUUUUUUUUUUUUUGUUUUAUGUGAUUUAAAUUUUUUUUUCACGAUUCCUGAAAAGUUUCUUAUUUUUUUUUUUUUUUUAUUUUU